GCAAGGCUGCAAGUUAGAAAACUGAAGGUAAACUCCCGGAAGGAAUUCAGACACCUUCGCAACCCUCCACGGUACAUUCCUCAAAAGAGGUUUUCCCCAGAAAACAAGCAACCUGAGAGCAGCAACACAGUGCAUGGAAUUUGCUGGGUAGAGUGGGAAGGGGGGCCGAAGAGCAUCCUGAGACUCCGUCGCUGAUCUAGGGCUCUCCCUCCUCUUCAUUCCUGCUGCCUUCUACACUGGGCAGUACCACCAUGUUCUGCCAGAUGGGCGAGAGCAAGUGAAUUACGAAAUACAAAUACAAA
ensembl:processed_transcript